CUGUGUGCCGCGCGCUUUUUUUUUUUUCUUGCAGGAGACUUGUUGGCUUCGCUAACGGACGUAGUUUUGAACUCGUAUUCGCGCCAUUUAUAGCUGCUUGGACAAGCAUCUUCGGAAUUUGUAGACAUCCUGGCAACUUACAAUUAAUUCGAGGUGAGGUGAGUUCAUGCACCUUCAAGUUAUCUCUGUUAUAAAAACCCACCAGCCCAGCUUUUAUAGAUAAUUUUAGGAGUUCGUUUUUUAUGAGUGAGGUUGUGAAUUUAGUUAGAGUUUAAACUAUUUGAAUUUUGUAUUGCCCUAAUUAGCAAACAAGUUAAGUGUUGCACUGAACUGUUAACACUGAAAUUUAAACCGCACUGUCUGUUACAAACAUUACUUGACUUUAACUGUUAUUAUAGCAUUUUUUUAUAGCAUGUGUUUAAGGUUUAAGGGUGGUGACACAGCUAAGACCCGAGAGUCUCUUUCAAGAUACUGAAUUUGAGCAGAAACCAUAAAGAUACUCAAAGGACCUGUGACUCUCAGGAAAUGCAUCAAAUGAGAGUGACAGGUGAAACCAUUUCAAGACAAUGGCAGGAAAAGCAUGCUAAAGAUUGAAUCAAACCUUGGCUGGAAAUAUUUGAAGGGAUCUAGCCAGUCCACAAUGAAAGCUUCGUUGCCCCCCUGUGAGUCUUCUGGCAGAAAUGAAUGGAUGGCGCCUGUAUUCUUUGGUUUCCCUAAACAUCACAUCGUGUUUAUACGAGGCUCUUCAAUUAAGUCUGCACCCAAAGAUUCAAUAAGAGAGGGGAUCCUGCUAGUCCAAAGUGAACUCCUGAUGGACAUUGAAGUACUCCUGCAGAGAUUGUAUCUUCGACACCAUGCGCAUUAGAAACUCCACUGAGUGCUUUCCUU